UAAGCAUAUCAAUAAGCGGAGGAAAAGAAACCAACAGGGAUUGCCUUAGUAACGGCGAGUGAAGCGGCAACAGCUCAAAUUUGAAAUCUGGCCCUCGGGUCCGAAUUGUAAUUUGUAGAGGAUGAUUUGGGUGCGGUAUCUUCCGAGUUCCUUGGAACAGGACGCCUUAGAGGGUGAGAGCCCCGUACGGUUGAAUGCCUAGCCUCUGUAAAUCUCCUUCGACGAGUCGAGUAGUUUGGGAAUGCUGCUCUAAAUGGGAGGUAAAUUUCUUCUAAAGCUAAAUAUUGGCCAGAGACCGAUAGCGCACAAGUAGAGUGAUCGAAAGAUGAAAAGCACUUUGAAAAGAGGGUUAAAUAGCACGUGAAAUUGUUGAAAGGGAAGGAUUUGUGACCAGACUUUUUCUGGGCGGAUCAUCCGGGGUUCUCUCCGGUGCACUUUGCCCAGUAAAGGCCAGCAUCGAUUUUCGGCGGCGGAUAAAAGCAGUGGGAAUGUGGCUCCCUACGGGGAGUGUUAUAGCCCAUUGUAUAAUACGCUGCUGGGGAUCGAGGUACGCGCUUCUGCAAGGAUGCUGGCGUAAUGGUUAUCAAUCACCCGUCUUGAAACACGGACCAAGGAGUCGAACAUUUAUGCGAGUGUUUGGGUGUUAAACCCUCACGCGUAAUGAAAGUGAACGGAGGUGAGAGCCCGUACGGGUGCAUCAUCGACCGAUCCUGAAGUUUUCGGAUGGAUUUGAGUAAGAGCAUAACUGUUCGGACCCGAAAGAUGGUGAACUAUGCGUGGAUAGGGUGAAGCCAGAGGAAACUCUGGUGGAGGCUCGCAGCGGUUCUGACGUGCAAAUCGAUCGUCAAAUCUGCGCAUGGGGGCGAAAGACUAAUCGA
rnacentral:rRNA from 1 species